CAUCAUUAUCCUCAUCACUAAAUCCUACAGAGUACAGGGCGGAAAACGGUGCACAC
rfam:Camelus ferus unplaced genomic scaffold scaffold1514, whole genome shotgun sequence.